AGAUCCGAAGCUUUAGCAAUCUUCUUAAUCUUCUUGGUCUUUGGUUGUAGCUAUCAAAGCCAGCACUUGUACCAGUCAAAGCUAACACUGAUACCCCAGGAACAUGGUUCCUUACAGGCGAAAGGUUGGGAUAGCUGGGCCUGAAGAAGUGCAGGGAAAAAAUAUUGAGAGUUUGAGACUACAGAUAGAGUAUGAUGAUAAACUACUGAAACUGAUAGAUUCGAAUGUCAUUCCCGCUGUUAAGCAAAACUAAGAACAAAAGUU